UAAGACAGAGGUGCCGAGCGUUAGGCGGAAUCACUGGGCUUAAAGCGUGUGUAGGCGGACGGGUAAGUACCUUGUGAAAUCCCACGGCUCAACCGUGGAACUGCUGGGUAUACUGCCUGUCUUGAGUCAUCUAGGGGCGAGCGGAACAAAUGGUGGAGCGGUGAAAUGCGUAGAUAUCAUUUGGAACGCCAAUGGUGAAAACAGCUCGCUGGGGAUGUACUGACGCUGAGACACGAAAGCCAGGGGAGCAAACGGGAUUAGAUACCCCGGUAGUCCUGGCCCUAAACGAUGUCGACUAGAUCGUGGUGCCUCUGACGGUAUCACGGUCGAAGCAAAAGUGCUAAGUCGACCGCCUGGGAAGUACGGUCGCAAGGCUA
rnacentral:rRNA from 1 species